rnacentral:rRNA from 1 species
UAUAAAAUACUAAAAUAGUAUAUAAUUAUUUAUUGAAACUUAAAUAUAUUGGCGGUAUUUUAGUUCAUUUAGAGGAAUCUGUUUAUUAAUUGAUAAUCCACGAUUAAAUUUACUUAAUUUAAUAUUUUGUAUAUCAUUGUUAAAAAAAUAUUUUUUAAUAAUUAUAAUAUUUUAAAAUUAUAAAAUAAAAUUAAAUCAAAUCAAGAUGCAGAUUAUAAUUAAGAAUAUAAUGGAUUACAAUAAAUUUAUUUAAAUGAAUUUUAAUUUGUAAUAAUUAAAUGAAGGUGGAUUUAAAUGU